GAUGAACGCUGGCGGCGUGCCUAACACAUGCAAGUCGAACGGAGAUUACGGACGGAAGUUUUCGGAUGGAAGACUGUAAUUCUUAGUGGCGGACGGGUGAGUAACGCGUGGGCAACCUGCCCUAUACAGGGGGAUAGCAGCUGGAAACGGCUGGUAAGACCGUAUAAGUCGGCGAGACCGCAUGGUUUUGCCGGGAAAUGAGCAAUCAGGUAUAGGAUGGGCCCGCGUCCGAUUAGCCAGUUGGCAGGGUAAAAGCCUACCAAAGCAACGAUCGGUAGCCGGACUGAGAGGUCGGACGGCCACAUUGGGACUGAGACACGGCCCAAACUCCUACGGGAGGCAGCAGUGGGGGAUAUUGCACAAUGGAGGAAACUCUGAUGCAGCGACGCCGCGUGAGUGAAGAAGUAUUUCGGUAUGUAAAGCUCUAUCAGCAGGGAAGAUGAUGACGGUACCUGACUAAGAAGCCCCGGCUAACUACGUG
rnacentral:rRNA from 1 species